AGUGAACGUUGGCGGCGUGGAUUAGGCAUGCAAGUCGAGCGAGAACCGUAGCAAUACGGGGACAGCGGCGAAAGGGACAGUAAUGUGUAGGUACCUACCCCGAGGUCUGGGAUAGCUGCGGGAAACUGCAGGUAAUACCGGAUAAUGUCUUCGGACCAAAGGUGUGAUUCCACCUUGGGAGGGGCCUGCAUCCUAUUAGCUUGUUGGCGGGGUAACGGCCCACCAAGGCGACGAUGGGUAGCGGGUGUGAGAGCACGACCCGCGUCAUUGGGACUGAGAUACGGCCCAGAACCCUACGGGUGGCUGCAGUCGAGGAUCUUCGGCAAUGGGCGAAAGCCUGACCGAGCGACGCCGCGUGCGGGAUGAAGGCCUUCGGGUUGUAAACCGCUGUCGUAGAGGAGGAAAUGCAGGGGGGUUCUCCCUUCUGUUUGACCUAUUCUAGGAGGAAGGACGGGCUAAGUUCGUGCCAGCAGCCGCCGUAA
rnacentral:rRNA from 1 species